rnacentral:rRNA from 1 species
AUUGAACGCUGGCGGCAGGCCUAACACAUGCAAGUCGAACGAGUGGCGGACGGGUGAGUAAUGUCUGGGAAACUGCCUGAUGGAGGGGGAUAACUACUGGAAACGGUAGCUAAUACCGCAUACCAUCGGAUGUGCCCAGAUGGGAUUAGCUAGUAGGUGGGGUAAAGGCUCACCUAGGCGACGAUCCCUAGCUGGUCUGAGAGGAUGACCAGGCACACUGGAACUUGGGCAAGGUCCAGACUCCUACGGGAGGCAGGAGUGGGGAAUUAUGCAAAAAGGGCGCAAGCCUGAAGGAACCAUGGCGCGUGGUUGGAGAAAGCCUUCGGGUUGUAAAGUACUUUCAGCCGGGGAGCGUUACCCGCAGAAGAAGCACCGGCUAACUCCGUGCCAGCAGCCGCGGUAAUUC